ACUCUAGUAUUUACCCCAAUACACAUGGGUUGAAGAGGAUUGAGGUGUAAACUAAACUAAUUUACACUCCAAUUCCCUUCAACCCAUGUGUAUUGGGGUGAAUAUUAGA
rfam:Zea mays cultivar B73 chromosome 3, whole genome shotgun sequence.